AUAACCAAUAAAAUGCUUCGCUUUACACAAUAUUCGCGCUUGAUACAGGUCUGAAUUUGGAUUGUAAAUAAAUAUUUGACACAUAAUAGGUUUCUGACACAGAAUAACUGUAGUCAAAGAACUUAAAAAUUGGUUAUAUGAUUUGAAUUUAUAUUCAAUUUUUUGCUUUUGUGCAAUACACUAUGCUGUUGAAUAUUAACCC